CGCUGGCGGCACGCCUAACACAUGCAAGUCGAACGAAGUAGCAAUACUUAGUGGCAGACGGGUGAGUAACAUGUAGGUAUCUACCCUAUGGCCUGGAAUAACACGAGGAAACUUGUGCUAAUACUGGAUAAGUCUUUACGGAGAAAGCUUUAUGCACCAUUGGAUGAGCCUGCACUUGAUUAGUUUGUUGGUAGGGUAAUGGCCUACCAAGACUUUGAUCAAUAGCUGAUUUGAGAGGAUGAUCAGCCACAUUGGGACUGAGACACGGCCCAAACUCCUACGGGAGGCAGCAGUGGGGAAUCUUGCACAAUGGAGGAAACUCUGAUGCAGCGAUGCCGCGUGAGUGAAGAAGGCCCUUGGGUUGUAAAGCUCUUUCGUCGGGGAAGAAAAUGACUGUACCCGAAUAAGAAGGUCCGGCUAACUUCGUGCCAGCAGCCGCGGUAAUACGAAGGGACCUAGCGUAGUUCGGAAUUACUGGGCUUAAAGAGUUCGUAGGUUGUUGAAAUAGUUGGUGGUGAAAUCCCAGAGCUUAACUCUGGAACUGCCAUCAAAACUUUUUAGCUAGAGUAUGAUAGAGGAAAGCAGAAUUUCUAGUGUAGAGGUGAAAUUCGUAGAUAUUAGAAAGAAUACCAAUUGCGAAGGCAGCUUUCUGGAUCAUUACUGACGCUGAGGAACGAAAGCAUGGGUAGCGAAGAGGAUUAGAUACCCUCGUAGUCCAUGCCGUAAACGAUGUGUGUUAGACGUUGGAGAUUUAUCUUCAGUGUCGCAGCGAAAGCGAUAAACACACCGCCUGGGGAGUACGA
rnacentral:rRNA from 1 species